rnacentral:hammerhead_ribozyme from 2 species
UUAGGCCGUUGCCUGCAGCUGAUGAGCUCCAAAAAGAGCGAAACCAGUAGGUCCUGCAGUACGGUCCAAAAGAACU